GUGAGGAAUAUUGGUCAAUGGACGGAAGUCUGAACCAGCCAUGCCGCGUGAAGGAUGAAGGCGUUCUGCGUUGUAAACUUCUUUUAUCAGAGAAGAAACCACUGAUUUCUAUUAGUGUUGACGGUAUCUGAUGAAUAAGCACCGGCUAACUCCGUGCCAGCAGCCGCGGUAAUACGGAGGGUGCAAGCGUUAUCCGGAUUUACUGGGUUUAAAGGGUGUGUAGGCGGGCUAUUAAGUCAGGGGUGAAAUCCCGGGGCUCAACCUCGGAACUGCCUUUGAUACUAUUAGUCUUGAAUUAUGUUGAGGUUGGCGGAAUAUAACAUGUAGCGGUGAAAUGCAUAGAUAUGUUAUAGAACACCGAUUGCGAAGGCAGCUGGCUAAACAUAUAUUGACGCUGAGGCACGAAAGCGUGGGUAGCGAACAGGAUUAGAUACCCCUGUAGUCC
rnacentral:rRNA from 1 species